rnacentral:tRNA from 1 species
AGGGUUAUAAUUUACUUAAAAUAUUUGAUUUGCAUUCAAAAAAUAUUGAAAUUUCAAUUUACCUU